UACGUAGGGGGCAAGCGUUGUCCGGAAUCAUUGGGCGUAAAGCGCGUGUAGGCGGCUCGAUAAGUCUGCUGUGAAAGUCCAGGGCUCAACCCUGGAAUGCCGGUGGAAACUGUCGGGCUAGAGUCCGGAAGAGGCGAGUGGAAUUCCUGGUGUAGCGGUGAAAUGCGCAGAUAUCAGGAGGAACACCAACGGCGAAGGCAGCCCGCUGGGACGGUACUGACGCUAAGGCGCGAAAGCGUGGGGAGCGAACAGG
rnacentral:rRNA from 1 species